AGGACGCAGGUGUAAACCCGGGUUCCGCACGGUGUGCACGGAAGGAUUUGCAUCCAAUGCUUCCCUCCCUCCCAAUCGGCCACUUGCUGCAACCCUAAGCGUCGUGGACACGGCUUCAAUGCUAUGUGGUCUCUCCUCCCCACCAGUUCUCGCGAUCACGAACGGCUCCACAUGGGAGCCAAUAGGCGUCCCUCGCAAUCCCCUCCGCGCUGAUGCUUGAAGAUCGAAGCAGGUCAUGCAGUGAAUGAGGAAGGAGAGGGUUUUGUGGGCCUUGGGAAAGGGUCAAUUUGGGGCAAGGAACAUGAGAAGAAAAAGUUGGGCUCUUUGAAGGCUUUUUACUGCGUGUAAAGGAGAAAGGAGCACGAAAAAGGGAAAAUAUGCGAAGAAUGAGGGAGGACACAGAAUCAAGGGAAGAUGGUUGGCGUCAAGAAGAAGAAUCGGCCUUUCAGGGACUGCGCAGGGCAGUGCUCUCUCGGAAAAGCCCUCUUUUCAGUCUCAGUGUCUUCCUCGUCCUGCUCAGCCUUCUUUCUUCGAGAUCAUGCUUGGUCGUUUCAGAGAGAACUUGCAUUUCUAUUGGGUGUAAUCAUGGUUUAUGGAAAGGGGAGUUUAUUCUUCGACAGGCUCAAGACAGUUCUAUUUUAUUCCCAACCGAUGGCAAUGCAUUCGAGCAUGGAAAUUUUUUAUCUUGUUAAGUGUAAUAUAUUUCUUCAUGCAAGUGGUAUUAUAGGGUGUUUGCUUUUGAUGCAUUAUUCUUCCUCUUCGCAUGCAAUAUUUCUUUUUUCUGGUAGUCUUGCUCAGUGAUUUAAAAAGCGCUAGGCGCUAAAUGGCGUCACGGUCCAAAAACGCUCGACGCCCUCGCCCAAGCUAAGUGAUACGCUAAAAAUUAAUAAUAUUAAAAUUAAUAGUAUCAAAAUCAAAAUAAUAGUGUUAUAUUGUAUACUGUUAACAGUAUACUUUCGAUUUCGAAAGAGGAGAAGCGAAAGAGAUGAGAAGAGUGUAAGGGAAGACCGAGGGUGCUGAGAAAAGCGGGAGCGGCAGCGGCAACGGCGAGCGAUGAUAGUGGCAGUGGCAGCGGUAGCAACGAGCAGCGGGAGCGGCGAUAGAGGCAGUGACAGCGGCAGCGGGAGCGACGAGCGGCGACAGUGACAGCGGCAACGGUAAAAGCGAGCAGCGGCAGCGAGAGUGGCGAGCGGCAACAGUGGCAGCGGCAGCAGCGGGAGCGGUGACAGCGGGAGCAGCAACGAGCAGCGUGAACAGCGAACAGGGUUAGGGUUGGGGAAGUCGCGCUGAUAUCGGUGCUUUCGUUGGUUCGAUUGAACCAACUAAAGCACCGGAGACUGAACCAAACCUAAAUCGUUGGUUCGGUCACUUGGUUUAACCCAGGCGCUCACCCGAAGCGCCCGGCGCCUGGGCUCGGGCGAGCGCCUAGGCGGCACCUCUUUGAAGCACGCCGCUUGGAAAUGAAGCGAGGCGCUCGGGCCUCGCCUCGCCCGAGCGACUAGACAAGCACCCGAGUGCCUUUUUAAAUCACUGGUCUUGCUUGAUAUCUGCUUUUGAACAUUUAUAUGCAGUUUAUACGACCAAAAUUCAUCAAUAAAGUAGUUCGCUUGGCCAGUGAGUUCAAGUGUCUAUUGUUAAUGGCUCCUUGGCUUUUCAAGAAGAAUGACAUGAUUUUGUGUUGGAUCAUUCCGUUUGUCUUGUGGAGGUUUUGAUAUUUAACUAAGUGCCCAUUGUGAACAAGCAACAGAAGAACCCGAAGAAAAGGGGAGUCUUCCCAUUGAACAACCCACAACAUGUGUUGUUCAUAAAACUUAAUUGCAUGAUCAGGAAAUCCUUGAAACUGGGCUCCAUUCUGAACUCGUGAUGAGAUUCCCACUGGUUGAAGAAAACUUAUCAUGCAACGGGAAUAGCCAUGGCAAAUCUGAAAUUGCGCCAACAGUUGCAUGCAGAAGAUCUGAGACUAAACAUUAAUUUGUUUGCUGUUGGGGCAUCAUCCCCUAUAUUCCUAAAUUAGAUUUCUCACUGCCACAAAACACAACUGAGAAAUGUCCAGCAGGAGAACAGGAGGAACGCAAAAUUCAGAUGGUUAGUUUGAGAGGACACUGAACUCUUGAUGUUAUGGGGACAAAUUUGAUUGCAUCUGAGGAAGUUGUCUGCAAAUUUCUUCUCACAAAGGAAGGCAUACGCCGCAUUGUCAAUGAUGACUUGUAGAAUGGACUCAGUGCCAUUAAAGAAACCCCUGUUAAUUUACCUGCCGGUGAAGUUGCUCCUAGCAUAAGCUGCAAUGACAGUGUUACCAUGUGUAGAGAUCCUUCCUUGCUUUCUGAAGAUAAUUGCCCUGGACUUAACGGUGGACCAUGUUGAAGAUGAAACAAGCAAUGGUAUGCAUGCAUGUGAGGAGGAUGGUGAGUACCCAUUGACUGAAAGAGAUGAUUUCUUCAACAUGGAUCUUCAGAAAAUUUUUUAAUGUGAUGUUCGUUUUGGUGUAAAUUUUUACUGGCCUCUUCCAUAAGUUCUGCAGGAUAGAAAAAAAAAACUCCUUUUCUUGUAGGAAAUACCCCAGGUUCAUUAUUAAGAAAAGAUUCUCUUCAUUGGUUGGAAGCAUCAGAAGUACCUCACAGGACAUGCCUUCUGUGGAUUUUACUGAGGAAAAUACAUCCAAUCUGGAAAAGUGUCUGAUGCGCUUCCAGAAGAGGAUGAGAAAGAGGAUACUCUUUGCACAAUAAGUCAAAAUCUUAAAAAUCAAGCCAUGGAUUUAGAUGACCUUUCUUCACCAAAUUCUUUCUGCUUCAGCUUAAAACCUUAUCAUCCAACAUUCAGUGUUGUCUCAAGUCAACCGUAACCUUUCCAUGAGGUUCUGAUUCUGAUCCUUUUACACUAGCAGAAGUUGCCCCAGUGGUUGCCAUCUCAGAAGGAUAAAAGACAUGAUAGGAACAUUGUAACUCUUCGGGAUCCAUCUGACAGACUUUGGCCUGCCACGUACCAUGAAAGCAUCAAGUUUAUAGGCUUUGCAAAUGGUUGGAAGGAUUUUACAAUAGCAAACAACAUUCAGCAGGGAAAUCUUUGCAGGAUUUUAUAACCGAGUUUGAGCCUACAAUUAAAGUGCAGAUAAGUUAAACUGUCGAAUGCAUUUUGAGUUGGCUCUAGUAAGAUACAUGUUGCCAGUGCCAGUUCUGUCUUCAACAUCUAUCGUUUUACGUAUGUAAUUUUGGUCAUAGUACUUAUCAUGCACUGUGUUUACUGCUGCUACAUGUACUCCAUAUGUAAUUAAGCUUCACAAAUGUAAAUUAUGUUUCGCCGCCGAGCGAAAGAUAUAACGUUUCUUGCACUCAUCAAUGAAUUGUACAUAUUGUAAAUGAUGAUACAACUGUGGGUUUCUUCA